GAUCAUGGCUACCGCUUUUCUAAACUGGAAUUUAGUAGGAAUUUAGGAAGUGUUUCGUGCUGAGGGGAAUGAAUCAAAUCUCUUGAGCAUCUUGAAGUGACUCUAAUUUUCGCUUUCAAUUUUUUUUGGGGGGAGAUUACUGAUUUUACCCUUGUAUGAACGUGCCUAAAACGUUUAAUACUUCUUUCAUGUUGUAGUAAUUCUACUACUUGGAGUCGGACUGUCAAUUUAUGCAACCUUGUUUGUUUGUUUUUUAAAUUAAAAAGAAGGGUUUCACGGAUCUAUACGUAGAGGAAUGAAUAUCUUCAUUCAGUGAUUCGAAAGUAUUCAUGAACUACCGAUAAUUUGGUAGCAGUUGUUUCAUGGCUGUUGUUAAAAUACAAAGAAAACUAGUUUCCAGUAAAGACAACAACUUUGUUGAACAAGUGUGAUCGUAAGGAGCUAACAGUAACAGACAAAUAGGUGUCUAAUUAUGCUUUCUUCGACUUCGGCGGCUACCCUAACACUGACGUCGGCCUCCAAGGUCGGUCUUCGGCCUCUGAGCAACCUAUUUCGCAAAGAGCUGCUUCAAAAUGACUACGUCACGUCGCCUCAAGUAGAAGGUGGUCCGUUCCCAUGGUGAAAUCGAUAAGGAUGAUUGUCUCGUACAGAACUGGCUUUGCGCCCGCUCGUUGUUUUAUAUGUACUGCUAACAUCGAGACCAAUCUUGUGGCAGGUAGAAAAGCACAUUUAAGUGUAUAGCGGCCAAAUAGAUUAAAACUUGUCCUAAUAAUAGGUGUUAAUAAAUUUAAACCCGUGAAGUUUACUCCACAGUUAAACCCUAUCCAGCUGUGAAACUUAGAAAAUGAAGUGCACGUUAUAAAACUGGCUUGCAAUAUCUCUCUCAGAAUAGCCGAGAUAUUAAUUUUGUAGCAUGUAAACUAGAGCAGAUUGAUUUGGUUAAAAUAGAUCUUACUUUUGGAGAGUAAUUUAG